CUCACCCUCAUCGUAGUCUCCUUCCAGUAUUGGGUCUACAAUCUCUUCAAUCCAUGACUCUCCUCCAUUUUUCUUAUUCUGCCUCACCCAUGUCACCAAUCCUCUCUCCAGCUCUUUCCCCUCUCCACUAUUGCUGGUUCCUCCCAUUGCUGGACUCUUCCCAGUCACCAUCUCCAGCAUCACAAUCCCAUAGCUGUAAACAUCCACUUUUGAUGUGAUGGGUAGAUUGAAAACCCACUCUGGAGCCAUGUACCCUCUAGUUCCUCUUAUUCUUGAGAAUCUCGAGUACUUCA
rnacentral:misc_RNA from 1 species